AAAGGGACUUGUGGGUUGUAGAGAAGGCUGUGGGUUUUACUCAGAGUGAGAUGAAAACUGGAAGGAAAGGCAGUGACAUGUUUUUAGAAGUCGGCUGUGAGUACCCCGUGGAGAGAAACACUGCAGGGAGGCAAGAACAGAGCAAGGCCAUGCGUCAGGCGGACACUGCAGGAAUCCACUCUGUCAAAUCUGAUCUGAAGAGGAGAGCAGAUGGACUGAUAAAUGGAACAGGAGCCCUUGAGAUCAACGGCCAGAAACCCUCAACGCGCCCGUGGUUUUCCAGCCUGUCCGCCUGCCUGGUGCAGACACAGACCAGGGUUUGGAUUCAGUCGGGGGAGUCCCCUGAGAGAGACAAGAAAAUUAAGGUUUAUGCAAAGGAACAGCUAUAACCCCAGACCCCGAGAUCCAGGCUGAGAAGGACGCAGAAUGCUGUUUAAUCUAUAAAAGCAUCAACAUCUUUGAGAACUACGAAGUCUUGGUUCUUAUGCCAGGCUCUUUUUCUCUCUCUGGAAGAACUGAAUACAGCUUACCCUGAAGCCUUCCAUACUUUCACGGGAUGUAUCAUCUUUCACGGGAUGUACAGAGAAUCCCACAGAACAGUAAACAACAACUAAGACCCAGAACUUUAAAUGGACUUAUGGAAAAACAGAAGUGAAAAUGCUACAUUUUCAAACUAUUCAUUUUCUUUUACCCUUACAGUUGAUCAUUUUUUUUCUCUUGCAAUUCUUAUUUUAAUGGUUUCUUGAU